UACGUAGGGUGCAAGCGUUGUCCGGAAUUAUUGGGCGUAAAGAGCUUGUAGGCGGUUUGUCGCGUCUGCUGUGAAAACUCAGGGCUUAACCCUGAGCUUGCAGUGGGUACGGGCAGACUAGAGUGGCGGUAGGGGAGACUGGAAUUCCUGGUGUAGCGGUGAAAUGCGCAGAUAUCAGGAGGAACACCGACGGCGGCCAGGCAGCGUCCCUGGCCGCU
rnacentral:rRNA from 1 species